UUGAUAGGUUAAGAGCUAAUUAACUGGACGUUACCUACAGAAGAAGCACCGGCUAACUCCGUGCCAGCAGCCGCGGUAAUACGGAGGGUGCGAGCGUUAAUCGGAAUUACUGGGCGUAAAGGGUGCGUAGGUGGUUUGAUAAGUUAGUUGUGAAAUUCCUGGGCUCAACCUAGGCACUGCAACUAAUACUGUUGAACUCGAGUAUGGGAGAGGGCAGUGGAAUUUCCGGUGUAGCGGUGAAAUGCGUAGGGAUCGGAAGGAACACCAGUGGCGAAGGCGGCUGCCUGGCCUAAUACUGACACUGAGGCACGAAAGCGUGGGGAGCAAACAGGAUUAGAUACCCUGGUAGUCCACGCCGUAAACGAUGUCAACUAGCCGGUUGGUUAUAUGAAUAUAAUUAGUGGCGCAGCAAACGCGAUAAGUUGACAUCGU
rnacentral:rRNA from 1 species